GGAAAGUAGGGGAUCGAAAGACCUUAUGCUUUAAGAGCGGCCGAUGUCUGAUUAGCUAGUUGGUAAGGUAAUGGCUUACCAAGGCGACGAUCAGUAGUUGGUCUGAGAGGACGACCAGCCACACUGGGACUGAGACACGGCCCAGACUCCUACGGGAGGCAGCAGUGGGGAAUUUUGGACAAUGGGCGCAAGCCUGAUCCAGCAAUGCCGCGUGAGUGAAGAAGGCCUUCGGGUUGUAAAGCUCUUUCAGUCGAGAAGAGAAAAUUGUGAUUAAUAAUCAUAAUUGAUGACAGUAUCGACAGAAGAAGCACCGGCUAACUACGUGCCAGCAGCCGCGGUAAUACGUAGGGUGCGAGCGUUAAUCGGAAUUACUGGGCGUAAAGGGUGCGCAGGCGGUUUUGUAAGUCACAGAUGAAAUCCCCGGGCUUAACCUGGGAAUUGCGUUUGAAACUACAAAUCUAGAGUGUGGCAGAGGGAGGUGGAAUUCCAUGUGUAGCAGUGAAAUGCGUAGAG
rnacentral:rRNA from 1 species